AUUAUUAGCACAUGAGGCUCACAUGUGAAACUAAAAAGAUAAAGUUUGCCUAACAUGUCUUAUGUGCUAACAAUUAACGAAAAGUUUUGUUUAGUCUUAUAUGUGUGGUUCAUAUGCUAAUAAUUAAUGGAGAGAGGACAAAAUAUUUAAUUUUGGGCCUAAAUGCUAAUAGACUUCACCACACUGACUUAAAUCCUAAUAUUUUGUUUUGCCACAUGAGCUAUUUUUCGACUACCCUAUCACCACGGGAACUAAUAAUCCAAUUAGGCAUAAUAAUAAAGUUACAAGGUGUGACUUUAUUGCCACGUAAUACUCACUCGCACGUGUUACGAAUGUUUUAAUUGUUAGAUUUGAUUUCUAAAACUGUUAAAUAAAUCUAUUUUCAUUCACAAUUAUCAUUUUUUCGUACCACUCAAUUUUGCGUACCAUUGUACAAAAGCUAAAAGUUAUGUACAUUCUUCAAAUAGUUAUUUGAUAAUGCAUUUCAAUGAUCACAAUUGUCUGUAUUUUAAGUCAUCACUAAAAGAAUUACCCAAAUUCGAAUUGCUAGGGCAUAAAAAUGUACAAAAAAAAACACGUUUUCUAGAUAAAGCUGAAA
rnacentral:lncRNA from 1 species